UGAGUAAUGCCUGGGAAACUGCCUGAUGGAGGGGGAUAACUACUGGAAACGGUAGCUAAUACCGCAUAACGUCGCAAGACCAAAGAGGGGGACCUUCGGGCCUCUUGCCAUCAGAUGUGCCCAGAUGGGAUUAGCUAGUAGGUGGGGUAAUGGCUCACCUAGGCGACGAUCCCUAGCUGGUCUGAGAGGAUGACCAGCCACACUGGAACUGAGACACGGUCCAGACUCCUACGGGAGGCAGCAGUGGGGAAUAUUGCACAAUGGGCGCAAGCCUGAUGCAGCCAUGCCGCGUGUGUGAAGAAGGCCUUCGGGUUGUAAAGCACUUUCAGCGAGGAGGAAGGUGGUGAGCUUAAUACGCUCAUCAAUUGACGUUACUCGCAGAAGAAGCACCGGCUAACUCCGUGCCAGCAGCCGCGGUAAUACGGAGGGUGCAAGCGUUAAUCGGAAUUACUGGGCGUAAAGCGCACGCAGGCGGUUUGUUAAGUCAGAUGUGAAAUCCCCGGG
rnacentral:rRNA from 1 species